rnacentral:lncRNA from 10 species
GAAGAGACAUGGUAUAAGUUUACCUGCUUCAAACAAUGCAGUAUGCUACUGCUUUUGCUCAGAAAAACACCCUUGUCAAAUUUCCUUUGUGUAAAUGAAGACUCUCCCUGCAGCACUGGAAUUGAUUUAACCUUCCAGAUGAAUACAUGAGGGAUAGGUGUGUCUAAGACUAUACAGCUAAUAAGUGAUUGGAAUAAAUAGAAGCAUUGACAUCCUGAGCUGUAAGAUCCUUCCACUUCCUGUCUGGUUCCCUUUGAUCCCAGCCUCUCUGACAUCACUGGAGAAAUGCCAGCCUAUGGAAGACAACCUCUGAGUCUCCUGGUGCCAAAACCAAGAACUUACUUGCAUCUACAUGUAAAUCAGAUUUUCCCUUGGGCAGCAUGGAGCAAAUCCCACUGUGAAAAGGUUUCCUCCGUCUUCCUCUUUGUCAGACUGCAUGCUGAGUCACAGGAUGGACCAGAUGUGUUGGUAUGAGAUGAAGUCAGGCCGGGAGACAAGAUGGCAGGCUGAGAACUGGGGCUGGCCCUUCCUGUGCUGUCCAUUCCGGUGUGGUCCUCCAGCCCUUCUGGAUUGUCAUAAAGGACAAGUCCUGAGUUAGCCUACUGAAGGAUGAGAGAAUAUAUGAAGGAGAACUGAGUCACUCCAACUAAGGCCAAACUACAGCAGCAUGCUACAACCUGUCUGUUGUGUGCAGAAUCAUGGGCAAGGUCAGCCAACAUCAAGUGAGCCAAGAAAGUCACCCAG